GAUGAACGCUGGCGGCGUGCCUAAUACAUGCAAGUCGAGCGAACAGACGAGGAGCUUGCUCCUCUGACGUUAGCGGCGGACGGGUGAGUAACACGUGGAUAACCUACCUAUAAGACUGGGAUAACUUCGGGAAACCGGAGCUAAUACCGGAUAAUAUAUUGAACCGCAUGGUUCAAUAGUGAAAGACGGUUUUGCUGUCACUUAUAGAUGGACCCGCGCCGCAUUAGCUAGUUGGUAAGGUAACGGCUUACCAAGGCGACGAUGCGUAGCCGACCUGAGAGGGCGAUCGGCCACACUGGAACUGAGACACGGUCCAGACUCCUACGGGAGGCAGCAGUAGGGAAUCUUCCGCAAUGGGCGAAAGCCUGACGGAGCAACGCCGCGUGAGUGAUGAAGGUCUUCGGAUCGUAAAACUCUGUUAUUAGGGAAGAACAAAUGUGUAAGUAACUAUGCACGUCUUGACGGUACCUAAUCAGAAAGCCACGGCUAACUACGUG
rnacentral:rRNA from 1 species